rnacentral:snoRNA from 1 species
GGCUUACACUUGAUCGCUGAACUUCAGGUAAGUUCUAUGUCGACGCUCAUUUUUUUUGCUGAUGCC